rnacentral:rRNA from 1 species
UACGGGGGGGGCAAGCGUUGUUCGGAAUUACUGGGCGUAAAGGGCGCGUAGGUGGCCCGGCAAGCGUGCGGUGAAAGUCGGGGGCUCAACCCCCGAUCGGCCGUGCGAACUGCGGGGCUGGAGCACUGUAGAGGCAGGCGGAAUUCCGGGUGUAGCGGUGGAAUGCGUAGAGAUCCGGAAGAACACCGGUGGCGAAGGCAGCCUGCUGGGCAGUUUUGCUGACACUGAGGCGCGACAGCGUGGGGAGCAAACAGG